GAUGAACGCUAGCGGCAGGCUUAAUACAUGCAAGUCAAGGGGGUAGCAAUACAACCGGCGCACGGGUGAGUAACGCGUACACAACAUACCAUAUACUGGAGUAUAGCUUUGGGAGACUGAAGGUAAUCCUCCAUAACAUUGCGAGAGGGCAUCUGAUUGCAAUUAAAGUUUCGGCGGUAUAUGAUUGGUGUGCGUUUGAUUAGCUAGUUGGUAGGGUAACGGCCUACCAAGGCGACGAUCAAUAGCUGGCGUGAGAGCGCGACCAGCCACACUGGAACUGAGACACGGUCCAGACUCCUACGGGAGGCAGCAGUAGGGAAUAUUGGACAAUGGAGGAAACUCUGAUCCAGCCAUGCCGCGUGAUAGAUGAAGGCCCUCUGGGUUGUAAAUAUCUUUUAUCUGGGAAGAAACACUCCUAUUCUUAGGAACUUGACGGUACCAGAGGAAUAAGCACCGGCUAACUCCGUGCCAGCAGCCGCGGUAAAG
rnacentral:rRNA from 1 species